rnacentral:rRNA from 1 species
AUUGAACGCUGGCGGCAUGCCUUACACAUGCAAGUCGAACGGCAGCACGGGUGCUUGCACCUGGUGGCGAGUGGCGAACGGGUGAGUAAUACAUCGGAACAUGUCCUGUAGUGGGGGAUAGCCCGGCGAAAGCCGGAUUAAUACCGCAUACGAUCUACGGAUGAAAGCGGGGGACCUUCGGGCCUCGCGCUAUAGGGUUGGCCGAUGGCUGAUUAGCUAGUUGGUGGGGUAAAGGCCUACCAAGGCGACGAUCAGUAGCUGGUCUGAGAGGACGACCAGCCACACUGGGACUGAGACACGGCCCAGACUCCUACGGGAGGCAGCAGUGGGGAAUUUUGGACAAUGGGGGAAAGCCUGAUCCAGCAAUGCCGCGUGUGUGAAGAAGGCCUUCGGGUUGUAAAGCACUUUUGUCCGGAAAGAAAUCCUUGGCCCUAAUACGGUCGGGGGAUGACGGUACCGGAAGAAUAAGCACCGGCUAACUACGUG